rnacentral:rRNA from 1 species
UACGUAGGGGGCAAGCGUUGUCCGGAAUCAUUGGGCGUAAAGAGCGUGUAGGCGGCUCGGUAAGUCCGCUGUGAAAGUCCAGGGCUCAACCCUGGAAUGCCGGUGGAAACUGUCGAGCUAGAGUCCGGAAGAGGCGAGUGGAAUUCCUGGUGUAGCGGUGAAAUGCGCAGAUAUCAGGAGGAACACCGGUGGCGAAGGCGGCAUCCUGGACCAUUACUGACGCUGAGGAGCGAAAGCCAGGGGAGCAAACGGG